AUUGAACGCUGGCGGCAGGCCUAACACAUGCAAGUCGAACGAGUGGCGGACGGGUGAGUAAUGUCUGGGAAACUGCCUGAUGGAGGGGGAUAACUACUGGAAACGGUAGCUAAUACCGCAUACCAUCAGAUGUGCCCAGCAGGGAUUAGCUAGUUGGUGGGGUAACGGCUCACCAAGGCGACGAGCCCUAGCUGGGCUGAGAGGAUGACCAGCCACAUGGGACCUGAGACACGGCCCAGACUCCUAGGGGAGGCAGAAGUGGGGAAUAUUGGACAAGGGGCGCAAUCCUGAUGCAGCAAUGCCGGGUGGAGGAAGAAGGCCUUCGGGUUGUAAAGUACUUUCAGCGGGGAGGCGUUACCCGCAGAAGAAGCACCGGCUAACUCCGUGCCAGCAGCCGCGGUAAUUC
rnacentral:rRNA from 1 species